rnacentral:lncRNA from 1 species
UUCUAAUCAGAGAUACUACUGCAAUCAGAUCCUACAACAUUAAUUAAUCACAACCUUAACUACUUCUAAGCAUAUCGAUCCUCCAUGUUAAAUACUAUCCGUUGGAGUCGUGAUCAUUUUUUUUUCUGUGGUUCAGUGAUAAGAGUUCUGAGCAUUCUAUUUUGCAUUGGUGAUUGGCUUAACUAAGUCACUCUGUAUUAUAAAAACGUACCUUCAAUGUGUGUGGCCUUGAUUAGGGCUGAGUAAAAAUAAUUGAUCUAUACUUAAUUAACUGUACUAUAUUAUAUUAAAAAAAAUAGAUUCACUUCUACUAAAAGUUCAGUUAACUGUUUUAUGAUUCAGUUUUUAAAAACUGAACUUAUAACAGUUUCAGUUCAGUUAACUGUGAGAACUAUUUUUACUUUUUCCUCUUCUCUAGUUCCGGUACAACUGUUUCGUCUUACUAAAUUAAUAAAAAGAAAUUAUUCACAUAAAAAAUUAAUAAUUAAUUUUUUACCACAAUUUUUUUAUUACAAAUUUUAAUAUUUUAAUAUUUUUUAUCAAUAAAUAUAUAACAUAUAUAAAUAAAAAAGAUAAUUUAUAUUUUUAUAUUUUUUAAAUUACAUAAUAUAUAUAUAUAUAUAUAUAUAUAUAUUUAUUACUUUACGUUAUUUUUUAUAUUUUUUUAUUAAUAAAAUAAAUAAAUAAAAAAUAAAAUAAUUUCCAUACACAUAUAAUAAUAAAAGAAAUAUAAAUAAAAUAUAAAAUUAUAAUAUCAAAUAAUUAAAAAAUUAAUUUGUAAAAUACUUAUGAAUAAAAUAAAAUAAAUAUUAAAAUAAAUUUUUAUUAUAUUAAAAAUAACGUUUGUGUUAACUCGAAACAUUUUCCAAUAUUAAACCACUGUAACAAUUUUUAUUCCAAAUAAAAAAAGAAAAUUUUUAUUCCAAAUAAAAAAAGAAAUUUUUUUACAAAACUUGCAAUCAAAAUGAUUUAAUUUCAGAUUAUAAUCUAAAGUUACUUUGUUAUUAGAUAUUGUUAAAAUCAGAUUUUAGAAUUAGUACAAUGUUAAAAUUAGUACAAUUCAGUUUAAAAUUAGUAGUUCAGUUAAAAUUAAUGCAGUUUAGUAUUGACUUAAUAGUUUAGUUAGUGUAAUUUACAAUUCAGUUAAUAUUUCAGAACAAUUUACAGUUUUGUUAAUAAUUCAGUUAGUGCAGUUUACAAUUCAGUUAAUAGUUCAGUUUAGUUAGUACAGUUUACAGUUCAGUUAAUAGUUCAGUCAGUACAGUUUACAAUUCAGUUAAUAGUUCAGUUCCGUUUAUACUGCAGUUUAGUACAAUUUAGUAUAGUUUAGUUCAGUUCAGUUUGAUAAAACAAAAAACAGUUCAGUUUAAAGAAAUUAGUUUUUAGUUCAGUUCAGUUUUUAGCAGUGCAGUUCAGUUCAAUUCAAUUUGCUCACCCCUAACCUCGAUCAUUCUUUAAGUUGUGCAACACUGAUUGUUUUUGGCAUGAUAAGGAUCCAUUCUGCAUAAAUUUUCAUUGUCCAUGCAUUUUCUGUAACAAGCUAGGUUACCUUGCAUUAGUCCAAUUUUUCAUUUGUGUUUCAUGGCAUGACACAUUGAGUCUGCUAUAUUUUGAUGAGUCAUGAUCCAAAAUUAAUGAGUGCACUAAAACUGGCUUUUUUCCAUCAUGACAGAACAAUUUUAAAUAUUGCAUCUUCAUGGUUUGUCUCAUAACUAUCGUACGAUGCUUUUAAAUGUGUUAUCCUUCCCUGAUUGAGUNACACGUGGUCCAGUAUGGGGUGACUUUAUUCCUCUCAUUGCAUGACCGAAUUACAUAGCUAUACUAAAUGUUUUUGGUACUAUUUUGUUCA